rnacentral:rRNA from 1 species
UACGUAGGGUGCAAGCGUUAAUCGGAAUUACUGGGCGUAAAGCGUGCGCAGGCGGUUGGGCAAGACAGGUGUGAAAUCCCCGGGCUUAACCUGGGAACUGCAUUUGUGACUGCACGGCUAGAGUGUGUCAGAGGGGGGUAGAAUUCCACGUGUAGCAGUGAAAUGCGUAGAUAUGUGGAGGAAUACCGAUGGCGAAGGCAGCCCCCUGGGAUAACACUGACGCUCAUGCACGAAAGCGUGGGGAGCAAACAGG